GACAUUUAAUUUUUGCAGUCUCAUGUGAAUGAAAGACCCUGUGUGUCUCUGACUUGCAACUGAUUUGAGGCUCAAACUUUGCCAUUUGAUCUCCUACCAGUAGCUCCAGUGCAUUAUUAUCGUUGUUGGAUUUGCAUGUACUACAUAAGCAAAGGGUAGAUGCCAUGAAAAAAGCACAUUAGGAAGUAUUUGUACCUUUUAGUUAUUAUUAUCAUUGUGUUUGUUCUGGCCUACAAGGAUCUCACUUAGAUAUUACCAAUUUUCAUCAGGGUUCUAUAUGCAGUGUUCAUAGAUUCCUUGCAUUGUUCAGUUACCAAUUUUUGUAAGGGUCAUACUUAAUGGACCAUGGCACACCCUUCCAAUGCAGGUUGCUUCCAUGACAAUACUUCAAAUAUGGGAGCCUGGUUUGCCUAUCAUCAACAGAGGGAGUAUGUCUCAAGACAUGACAAUGCAUAAUAAUAGUUGUUGUAAGGGAGUUGAAACUCAUGAGAAGUGAGAAAAAAUGUAAGACUAAUCCAUUGACUACCAGGUUUAUGAGUGGCCUUAUUACUACGUGGAAGGUACCUCUUAAUUCCUUCUUUUUAUGUGGGGACCCUCUUCAUUCCUUGAUCAUAGCAUGGCUUGAGGCGAAGCUAAGUGGAGGCAAAGAAAUAUCAGACAUAGUCGGCGGCAAGUUGGUUCUACCAACGCAGGAAUGUUGUUGUUGACGAAUGUGAAAUAUCAGUGAUUCACUAUCAUUAAUAAUUUGGUGUUCAUAUUCAUA